CCUUCCUUUUUCUUUAAUCAGGAUACGAGGACAUUAUGUUCAUUCAUACACAUUACAACCAUCUAGAUGAGAUUCUGUCUGGAGCACGGGAUCCUCCACUGAGCCACCAGGAGAAAACUAAAAGAAUACUCCCAGGUCACCUUGCUUCUGCUGUCAUAUCAGCUACCAUCCGCGAUGCCUCCAAAGCCCAGAACAUCCCCGUGGCUGUCCAAUACACCCUGUCGUCAUCAAAUGGGGAGUAUUCACAGCACACUUCUCCAAUUUGUGCAUAUUGGAAUUUCAGCCUCAUGUAUAAUCAUACCAAUGGGUGGUCCAGUGAUGGUUGCAAGGUGACCUUUGACUUUGCUGGCUCUGGUGCCACUUCCUGUCAGUGUAAUCACACCACCAACUUUGCUGUGCUUAUGAAUUACCUGGAGUCAAAGGUAACCAAUGAAAUGCUGUAGCUAGUUAUUAACGUGUUUGAAUUAGAGGGAAAAUG
rnacentral:lncRNA from 1 species